AUUAGUGGCGAACGGGUGAGUAACACGUGAGUAACCUGCCCUUGACUCUGGGAUAAGCCUGGGAAACCGGGUCUAAUACUGGAUACGACCUUCCCGCGCAUGCGGUGUUGGUGGAAAGCUUUUGCGGUUUUGGAUGGACUCGCGGCCUAUCAGCUUGUUGGUGGGGUAAUGGCCUACCAAGGCGACGACGGGUAGCCGGCCUGAGAGGGUGACCGGCCACACUGGGACUGAGACACGGCCCAGACUCCUACGGGAGGCAGCAGUGGGGAAUCUUAGACAAUGGGGGCAACCCUGAUCUAGCCAUGCCGCGUGAGUGACGAAGGCCUUAGGGUCGUAAAGCUCUUUCGCCGGGGAAGAUAAUGACGGUACCCGGUAAAGAAACCCCGGCUAACUCCGUGCCAGCAGCCGCGGUAAUACGGAGGGGGUUAGCGUUGUUCGGAAUGACUGGGCGUAAAGCGCGCGUAGGCGG
rnacentral:rRNA from 1 species